GACGAACGCUGGCGGCGUGCCUAAUACAUGCAAGUAGAACGCUGAAGGAGGAGCUUGCUUCUCUGGAUGAGUUGCGAACGGGUGAGUAACGCGUAGGUAACCUGCCUGGUAGCGGGGGAUAACUAUUGGAAACGAUAGCUAAUACCGCAUAAGAGUAGAUGUUGCAUGACAUUUGCUUAAAAGGUGCAAUUGCAUCACUACCAGAUGGACCUGCGUUGUAUUAGCUAGUUGGUGGGGUAACGGCUUACCAAGGCGACGAUACAUAGCCGACCGGAGAGGGGGUGCGGCCACCCUGGGACUGAGACACGGCCCCGACUCCUACGGGAGGCAGCAGUAGGGAUUCUUCGGCAAUGGACGGAAGUCUGACCGCGCAACGCCGCGUGAGUGCAGAAGGUUGUCGGAUCGUAAAGCUCUGUUGUAAGAGAAGAACGAGUGUGAGAGUGGAAAGUACACACUGUGACGGUAUCUUACCAGAAAGGGACGGCUAACUGCGUG
rnacentral:rRNA from 1 species